rnacentral:rRNA from 1 species
AUUGAACGCUGGCGGCAGGCCUAACACAUGCAAGUCGAGCGGAUGAAGGGAGCUUGCUCCUGGAUUCAGCGGCGGACGGGUGUGUAAUUCCUAGGAAUCUGCCUGGUAGUGGGGGAUAACGUCCGGAAACGGGCGCUAAUACCGCAUCCGUCCUGAGGGAGAAACAGGGGGACUUUCGGACCCCACGCCAUCAUGUGAGCCUGGGUCGGAUUAGCUAGUUGGUGGGGUAAAGGCCUACAUAGGCGACGAUCCGUAACUGGUCUGAGAGGAUGUUCAGUCACACUGGAACUGAUACACGGUCCAGACUCCGACGGGAUGCAGCAGUGGGGAAUAUUGGACAAUGGGCGAAAGCCUGAUCCAGCCAUGCCGCGUGAGUGAAGAAGGUCUUCGGAUUGUAAAAGACUUUAAGUUGGGAGGAAGGGCAGUAAGUUAAUACCUUGCUGUUUUGACGUUACCAACAGAAUAAGCACCGGCUAACUUCGUG